AACCUCUGGAGAACUCUUAAGUGAGUGCCGAAGGGGCAAGGCGGUACAAGAUGUACCAGCCGAAACUCUCAGGCAAACGGACAGAGGCG
rnacentral:ncRNA from 1 species